GUUCAGUUUAGUACUCUGGUACCUGGUUCUGGUUGAGGUUAGUACUAGUUCCAUUACCUGGUUCUGGUUGAGGUUAGUACUCUGGUAAGAGGUUCUGGGUUAGUUUAGUACUCUGGUAGCAGGUUCUGGUUGAGGUUAGUCCUAGUUCCAGUACCUGGUUCUGGUUGAGGUUAGUACUCUGGUACCAGGUUCCGGUUGAGGUUAGUCCUAGUUCCAGUACCUGGUUCUGGUUGAGGUUAGUUCUCUGGUAAGAGGUUCUGGGUUAGUUUAGUACUCUGGUAGCAGGUUCUGGUUGAGGUUAGUCCUAGUUCCAGUACCUGGUUCUGGUUGAGGUUAGUACUCUGGUACCAGGUUCCGGUUGAGGUUAGUCCUAGUUCCAGUACCUGGUUCUGGUUGAGGUU